rnacentral:rRNA from 1 species
UCAGGAUGAACGCUGGCGGCGUGCUUAACACAUGCAAGUCGAACGGAGUUUUAACGGAAGUUUCGGAUGGAAGUUUAAGAACUAGUGGCGGACGGGUGAGUAACGCGUGGGUAACCUGCCUCAUACAGGGGGAUAACAGUUAGAAAUGACUGCUAACACCGCAUAAUAUAGUGAAACCGCAUGAUUUUUGCUAUCAAAAUAUUUAUAGGUAUGAGAUGGGCCCGCGUCUGAUUAGCUAGUUGGUGGGGUAAAAGCCUACCAAGGCGACGAUCAGUAGCCGGCUUGAGAGAGUGACCGGCCACAUUGGGACUGAGACACGGCCCAAACUCCUACGGGAGGCAGCAGUGGGGAAUAUUGGACAAUGGGGGAAACCCUGAUCCAGGCCGACGCCGCGUGAGUGAAGAAGUAUUUCGGUAUGUAAAGCUCUAUCAGCAGGGAAGAUAAUGACAGUACCUGACUAAGAAGCCCCGGCUAACUACGUGCCAGCCGCCGC